rnacentral:lncRNA from 1 species
GGCUUGGAUUGGGCGGAUCUCACGGUGGGGGUGGGAAUCGAAGCGUUACUUCCGGGCCGGGGGGGGGGGUCCGGCUUCACCGAUGAGGAGGGGUUUCCGGGUCCGGACCCUACGGGUUCAGUUAGUGGCCGGUACCUCCUUGUCCCCUGUCUGCGGGGCCUCGGAGCGGAGUCUGAGCCCCAGCCCCGCCGCCUCUCGGGUCCGCUCCCCUUUCCCACAGUCUCCAGGCGUGAGGUUAGAGACCCAGGGGCUAGGACUGAGCCCUGGAUACCUAGGACAAACCACCAGAGAUCCUGUUGUCUUUCCCACAAGCAGGAUUUUAAAUGUUACAACCUGGUGUGAGCGCCCAGCAAUAGUGAAGAGAAGAACUGUGGGUCCUGGAAAUGUGGACACAAAGGAAGCUUCUGAAGGGAGAGGGCAUGAGAAGGUGACUGCUCAGUGA